GGUGGGAUAGCUCAGUUGAUAGAGUCUCUGUUGAUAGAGGCUCAGUUGAUAGAGCCUUGGUUGAUAGAGUCUUGGUUGAUAGAGUGCCUGGUGAGAAGGCAGGAGGUCCUAGGUUCAAAUCCUGGAUCCACCA